GCUUGGCCCUAAACCUCAGUAAUUAGAUAACAAAACUACUCGCCAGAAUACUACAAGCAACAGCUUGAAACUCAAAGGACUUGACGGUGCUUUACAUCCCCCUAGAGGAGCCUGUUCCGUAAUCGAUAAACCCCGAUCCACCCUACCCUCUCUUGCUCAGCCUAUAUACCGCCAUCUUCAGCAAACCCUAAUGAAGGCCACAAAGUGAGCGCAAACGCCGCCGCCGCGAAUACGUUAGGUCAAGGUGUAGCCCAUGAGACGGUAAAAAAUGGGCUACAUUUUCUAUUUCAGAAAACCCACGAAAACCCUUAUGAAACUUAAGGGUCCAAGGAGGAUUUAGCAGUAAAUUAAGAAUAGAGUGCUUAAUUGAACCAGGCCAUAAAGCGCG
rnacentral:rRNA from 1 species